rnacentral:rRNA from 1 species
CCUACGGGAGGCAGCAGUGAGGAAUAUUGGUCAAUGGGCGCGAGCCUGAACCAGCCAAGUAGCGUGAAGGAUGACUGCCCUACGGGUUGUAAACUUCUUUUAUAAAGGAAUAAAGUGAGGCACGUGUGCCUGUUUGUAUGUACUUUAUGAAUAAGGAUCGGCUAACUCCGUGCCAGCAGCCGCGGUAAUACGGAGGAUCCGAGCGUUAUCCGGAUUUAUUGGGUUUAAAGGGAGCGUAGAUGGGUUGUUAAGUCAGUUGUGAAAGUUUGCGGCUCAACCGUAAAAUUGCAAUUGCAACUGGCAGCCUUGAGUACAGUUGAGGUAGGCGGAAUUCGUGGUGUAGCGGUGAAAGGCUUAGAUAUCACGAAGAACGCCGAUUGCGAAGGCAGCUUACUAAACUGCCACUGACAUUGAUGCUCGAAAGUGUGGGUAUCAAACAGGAUUAGAUACCCUGGUAGUC